AAGUCGUAACAAGGUUUCUGUAGGUGGACCUGCGGAAGGAUCAUUAACACGUAUCCAAACGUUAAACCCCCUGUGAACCUUCAGUCGUACGUCCGUUAGAAAAAGCAGCAAUCCCUGGUAAAUCAUCGCCGAACAGUUUUCGAUUCAGGGACGUCGUGCAUGUUGUGCGUGUAAGUGGCCUGGCAUCCCCAAGCAGUUAGUGUCUGAAAGUGUCACUAACGUUAGUGUCACUAACAUGUGUAAGACACGGCCGACGACCGGGUCACCGGGCGCAAGCCCCCUUAUCACACCCCUGCUCUAUCUAUGGUGCCUGCGGGAAGUCCUGCGGUCGAACGCCGAAACCGAACAACUGUUAACAAUGGAUAUCUUGGUUCU
rnacentral:misc_RNA from 1 species